rnacentral:rRNA from 1 species
CAGCAGCCACGGUAAUACGAAGGGUGCAAGCGUUAAUCGGAAUUACUGGGCGUAAAGCGUGCGUAGGCGGUGAGUUAAGUCUGCUGUGAAAUCCCCGGGCUCAACCUGGGAAUGGCAGUGGAUACUGGCUCGCUAGAGUGUGUCAGAGGAUGGUGGAAUUCCCGGUGUAGCGGUGAAAUGCGUAGAGAUCGGGAGGAACAUCAGUGGCGAAGGCGGCCAUCUGGGACAACACUGACGCUGAGGCACGAAAGCGUGGGGAGCAAACAGGAUUAGAGACCCCCGUAGUCCCUGUCUCUUAUAA